rnacentral:rRNA from 1 species
CUAACAAGGAUUCCCCUAGUAACUGCGAGUGAAGAGGGAAGAGCUCAAAUUUGAAAUCUGGCAGUGUUUUGCUGUCCGAGUUGUAAUCUAGAGAAGUGCUGCCCGUGCUGGACCAUGUACAAGUCUCCUGGAAUGGAGCGUCACAGAGGGUGAGAAUCCCGUCUUUGACAUGGACUGCCAGUGCAUUUGUGGUGUGCUCUCAAAGAGUCGAGUUGUUUGGGAAUGCAGCUCUAAAUGGGUGGUAAACUCCAUCUAAAGCUAAAUAUUGGCGAGAGACCGAUAGCGAACAAGUACCGUGAGGGAAAGAUGAAAAGAACUUUGGAAAGAGAGUUAAACAGUAUGUGAAAUUGUUGAAAGGGAAACGCUUAAAGUCAGUCGUGUCGGCCAGGGAUCAACUCAGUAGUAUCCACUGGGUGUAUUUCCUGAUCUGAUGGGCCAACAUCAGUUUUGACUGCUGGAAAAGGAUAGAGGGAAUGUGGCACCUUUGGGUGUGUUAUAGCUCUCUGUCGGAUGCAGUGGUUGGGACUGAGGAAAGCAGCAUGCCGCAAGGCCGGGUCGUUUCGACCACGUUCAUGCUGAGGAUGUUGGCAUAAUGGCUUUAAUCGACCCGUCUUGAAACACGGACCAAGGAGUCUAACAUGCCUGCGAGUGUUUGGGUGGCAAACCCGAGUGCGGAAUGAAAGUGAAAGGUUGAGAUCCCUGUCAUGGGGAGCAUCGACGCCCGGACCUGAGCUCUUGCAAAGGAUCUGCGGUAGAGCAUGUAUGUUAGGACCCGAAAGAUGGUGAACUAUGCCUGAAUAGGGUGAAGCCAGAGGAAACUCUGGUGGAGGCUCGUAGCGAUUCUGACGUGCAAAUCGAUCGUCGAAUUUGGGUA